rnacentral:rRNA from 1 species
AUGAAAAUCAAUGUAGAUGUAGGCCUAUCUGACAUAGGUACAGCAGCAGUAGGAGUUUGCCAAGACCGUACAGGAUUGUAUUUGGGCUCUUCGGCUCUGGUGUUCUCAGGAGUUGCUGACCCUGCAGUGGUCGAAGCCAUAGCUUGCCGCGAAGCACUUGCACUUGCAGAAGACCUCUCGCUUCAGAAUUUGGUGGUGGCAAGUGAUUGCAAAACGGUAGUUGACGACAUACAUGAAGGAUAGGGCGGUGCUUAUAUAACAGUCAUCAAGGAGAUUUCCAUGCGUAGAUCAUCUUUUAAUUCUUGUAACUUUAUUUUCGAAGGUAGAGCAUCGAACUUUGAUGCGCACAAUCUUGCCAAACACUCUUUAUCACUCAAUCAGGGUCGCCAUCUGUGGCUCAUUCACCCCCAUGACCCUUCUUGUAUCCGGCUUAAUUCCUAG